CAGGUGGUUCCGGCAUGUCCGGCACGUGGAUCUGGCAUGUCUGAAGGUGGUUCCGUCACGCCGGGCAGGUGAUUCCAGACUGUCCGCCACGUGCUUCUGGUGUACCCGGCAGGUGACUUUGGAGAGUGCGGCAGGUGGUUCCAGCGAGUGGAGCAGGUGCUUCCGGUGUGCUAGACAGGUGGUUCAGGCGUGUGCUGCAGGUGGUUCCGGUCUGUCUAGAGGUGGUUCCGGCAUUUCCGGCACGUGGUUCUGGCACGUCUGAGAGUUGGUUCCUUCAUGCCUGGCAGGUGAUUCCAGAGUGUCCGAAAAGUGGUUCUGGCGUAGCAGGCAGGUGAUGUUGGCAUGUCUGGCAGGUGGUUCCGGCGAGUUGAGUGGGUGGUUUCGGCAUUUUCGGCAGGAGGUUCCGGUCUGUCCAGGAGGUGGUUCCGGCGUGUCCGGCACGUGGUCCUGGCACGUUUGAGAGGUGGUUCCGGCAUGCCCGGCAGGUGAUUCCUGACUGUCCGCCACGUGGUUCUGGCGUAGCCGGCAGGUGAUUUUCACAUGUCAGGUAUGUGAUUCCGGCGAGUCAAGCAGGUGGUGCCGGCGUGCUCGGCAGGUGGUUCAGGCGUUUCCGGCAGGUGGUUCCGGUGUGUCUGGGAGGUCGUUCCGGCAUGUCCAGCACGUGGUUACGGCGAGUUGAGCACGUGGUUCCGGCGUUCUCAACAGGUGGUUCAGGCGUGUCGUGCAGGUGGUUCUGGUCUGUCCUGUAGGUGGUUUAGGCGUGUCCGUCACGUGGUUCUGUCACGUCUUAGAGGUGGUUCCGGGAUGCCCGGCAGGUGAUUCCGGAGUGUUCGCCACGUGCUUCUGGCGUACCUAGCAGGUGAUUUUGGCAUGUCCGGCAGGUGGUUCCGGCAAGUGGAGCAGGUUGUUCUGGCAUGCUCGGAUAAUGGUUCAGGUCUUUCCAGGGAGUGGUACCGGUGUGUCCAGCACGUGGUUCUGGCACGUAUGAGAGUUAGUUCCUGCAUGGCCGGCAGGUUAUUCUGCAGUGUCCAGCAAGUG
rnacentral:lncRNA from 1 species